CAAUUUUCGUCGAUCGUAUGCUCCUGGCCGCUAUGGACAGGCCGCGGGAAUUCGAUUAGAGUUUGAUCCUGGCUCAGAUUGAACGCUGGCGGCACGCCUAACACAUGCAAGUCGAGCGGUAGCAGGACUAGUAGCAAUACUAGUUGCUGACGAGCGGCGGACGGGUGAGGAAUACGUAGGAAUCUACCCUCGAGCGGGGGAUAACUAAGGGAAACUUUAGCUAAUACCGCAUACACUCGAGAGAGGAAAGCUGCAGCAAUGUAGCACUCGAGGAGGAGCCUGCGUCCGAUUAGCUAGUUGGUAGGGUAAGAGCCUACCAAGGCGAUGAUCGGUAACUGGUCUGAGAGGACGACCAGUCACACUGGGACUGAGACACGGCCCAGACUCCUACGGGAGGCAGCAGUGGGGAAUAUUGGACAAUGGGGGCAACCCUGAUCCAGCGAUGCCGCGUGAGUGAAGAAGGCCUUCGGGUCGUAAAGCUCUUUAGGUUGGGAAGAAGGGUGAUAGAGGAAAUGCUAUCACUUUGACGGUACCGACAGAAUAAGCACCGGCAAACUCUGUGCCAGCAGCCGCGGUAAUACAGAGGGUGCGAGCGUUAAUCGGAAUUACUGGGCGUAAAGGGCGCGUAGGCGGUGAUAUGAGUGUGAUGUGAAAGCCCCGGGCUUAACCUGGGAAGUGCAUCGCAAACGAUAUGACUGGAGUAUAUGAGAGGGUGGCGGAAUUUCCGGUGUAGCGGUGAAAUGCGUAGAGAUCGGAAGGAACGUCAAUGGCGAAGGCAGCCACCUGGCAUAAUACUGACGCUGAGGCGCGAAAGCGUGGGGAGCGAACAGGAUUAGAUACCCUGGUAGUCCACGCUGUAAACGAUGACGACUAAAUGUUGCUAGGCGAACCUAGCAGUAUUGAAGCUAACGCGAAUAGUUCCUCCCCCCUGCGCAGUUACGGCCGCCACGAUGAAACUCAAAGGAAUUGACCUGUGGCCGCACGAGCUGUGGAUUAGGUGUUUAAAUUUAUGUCAACGCACAUAUCCU
rnacentral:rRNA from 1 species